rnacentral:rRNA from 1 species
GUGUAUGGCCAUGCCACUCUGAACAAGCCCAAUGUCUGAUCUCGGAAGCUAAGCACGACCAGGCCUGGUUAGUACUUGGAUGCGAGACCACCUAGGAAGACCAGUUUCUGUAAGCA